rnacentral:rRNA from 1 species
UACGUAGGGCGCAAGCGUUGUCCGGAAUUAUUGGGCGUAAAGAGCUCGUAGGCGGUCUGUUGCGUCCGCUGUGAAAACUCGGGGCUUAACCCCGAGCCUGCAGUGGAUACGGGCAGACUAGAGGUAGGUAGGGGAGACUGGAAUUCCUGGUGUAGCGGUGAAAUGCGCAGAUAUCAGGAGGAACACCGGUGGCGAAGGCGGGUCUCUGGGAAACAACUGACGCUGAGGAACGAAAGCGUGGGUAGCAAACAGG